AAUCAACGCUGGCGGCGUGCCUCAGACAUGCAAGUCGAACGAUUAAAGCUCUCUUCGGAGAGUGUAUAGAGUGGCGCACGGGUGAGUAACACGUAAGUAAUCUACCCUCGAGUGGGGAAUAACAACCGGAAACGGUUGCUAAUACCGCAUAAUGCAGCGGCACCGCAAGGUGACAGUUGUUAAAGAUUUAUCGCUUGAGGAGGAGCUUGCGGCAGAUUAGCUAGUUGGUAGGGUAACGGCUUACCAAGGCUACGAUCUGUAACCGGUCUAAGAGGACGGUCGGUCACACUGACACUGAAUAACGGGUCAGACUCCUACGGGAGGUAGCAGUCGGGAAUUUUGGGCAAUGGGCGAAAGCCUGACCCAGCAACGCCGCGUGAAGGAUGAAGUAUUUCGGUAUGUAAACUUCGAAAGAAUAGGAAGAAUUAAUGACGGUACUAUUUAUAAGGUCCGGCUAACUACGUG
rnacentral:rRNA from 1 species